rnacentral:rRNA from 1 species
UACGUAGGGGGCAAGCGUUGUCCGGAUUUAUUGGGCGUAAAGAGCGUGUAGGCGGCCAGAUAGGUCCGUUGUGAAAACUCGAGGCUCAACCUCGAGACGCCGAUGGAAACCAUUUGGCUAGAGUCCGGAAGAGGAGAGUGGAAUUCCUGGUGUAGCGGUGAAAUGCGCAGAUAUCAGGAAGAACACCCGUGGCUAAGGCGGCUCUCUGGUACGGUACUGACGCUGAGACGCGAAAGCGUGGGGAGCGAACAGG